rnacentral:rRNA from 1 species
CCCUUAGAUGUUCUGGGCCGCACGCGUGCUACACUGAGUGGAUCAGCGGGUCAGGUUGCGCGAAAGUGUUUCCUAAUCUUGAAAUCCGCUCGUGAUGGGGAUUGACGGUUGCAAUUUUCCGUCAUGAACGAGGAAUACCUUGUAAGCGCGGGUCAUCAUCCCGCGCUGAAUACGUCCCUGCCCUUUGUACACACCGCCCGUCGCUCCUACCGAUUGAGUGGUCCGGUGAGGCUUUGGGAUCUGAGCGGAAAGAGCGUUUCGCUGUUUCUGCUCGGAAAACUCAGUCGAACCUUAUCAUUUAGAGGAAGGAGAAGUCAUAACA